UACGGGGGGAGCAAGCGUUGUUCGGAUUUACUGGGCGUAAAGGGCGCGUAGGCGGCCACCGCAAGUCGACUGUGAAAUCUCCGGGCUUAACUCGGAAAGGUCAGCCGAUACUGCGGGGCUAGAGUGCAGAAGGGGCAACUGGAAUUCUCGGUGUAGCGGUGAAAUGCGCAGAUAUCAGGAGGAACACCGGUGGCGAAGGCGGUUCUCUGGGCCUUACCUGACGCUGAGGAGCGAAAGCGUGGGGAGCGAACAGG
rnacentral:rRNA from 1 species